CUCCGGCCGCCCCGGGCUCCUGAGACAGGGAGGGGCACACUACAGAGUCUGUGACCACUGUGGACACUGCACAGAGAUUCCAGCUCACACGCCAGCCUUGUACUGGGGAUCAUCUUACCUCUUCUUGUCGAUGGAGGACUCGAUGGAUAAACAUUGCUGGGAGAUCGAACCAGGUGGUGACCCACCCUGCUGUUUGCUGCUUGUGACUGGACUACCUGCAUUGCCCUGCUUCUUUGACCUCGGACCCAGUGGCCCUCGUGAAUUGAAGGACUUCCAGUAUAUUAACUGUUCCACAGAAAGAACCCUGUCUAACACACAGAGUUACAAGUGACUGUAUGGAGUGCUGAAGAACAUCUGGGAUUUAGAAACCAAGAGAGCAUAUGCAGACUGAAAUUUAUGUAUGUCUCAUGGUGGCCAGUAGGCUUAAGGUAUGAAAUCUAUUUAUUUAUUCCAUCAUACUCUGGCCUUUGUUGUGUACCAUCUAUAUCUUGGGCACUACUCAAGGAAUGGAGGAUGCUACAGACAAUUGGCCAAGUCCUCAGAAAUCUUAAAAAACAAUAUGUAUAUUUUUUGCAUGAAAACAUACACAGAGCAGGUGCAUGGGCACUAACUCACCCAAGGGGAGGGUAUUGUUUAUAUCUCCACAGGAAAAGAGGGACCGGAUG